rnacentral:rRNA from 1 species
UACGUAGGGGGCGAGCGUUGUCCGGAAUUACUGGGCGUAAAGAGCUCGUAGGCGGUUUGUCGCGUUGUUCGUGAAAACUCACAGCUUAACUGUGGGCGUGCGGGCGAUACGGGCAGACUGGAGUACUGCAGGGGAGACUGGAAUUCCUGGUGUAGCGGUGGAAUGCGCAGAUAUCAGGAGGAACACCGGUGGCGAAGGCGGGUCUCUGGGCAGUAACUGACGCUGAGGAGAGAAAGCGUGGGGAGCGAACAGG